AGAGGAGGAGGGGAAGAAAAGGGAGCUCUCGGCUGAAGGAGGUGCACUCGGUUGGGGCCAAGAAAUAGGGGAAGAAGGUUCGAUUUGGGAGAGAAGAGAAAGAGAAAAAAAAAGGGAAGAAACAGAGCAUGGCUCUAUUUCGUUUGAAAAGAAGAAUAAAAAAUUAGGAAAAAAAGAAACGGGAGAUUUCUAUUUGAUUUUCUUUUAGUCCUUGUUUUCUUUUUUUUAUUUGUAGAAGAAAAGAAG
rnacentral:lncRNA from 1 species